AGCCAGCUGUGUAGUGGUUUGAGUGUUGGACUACAACUCUGGAGACCAGGGUUCAAAUCCCUAGUUGGCCA